AUGCUUGCUUCAGCAGCACAUAUGCUAAAAUCUGAAUGAUACAGAGAUUAGCAUGGUCCCUGUGAAAGGAUUACCUACAUGGGAAAAGAAUCUGAAAAAGAACAU
ensembl:snRNA U6 U6 spliceosomal RNA